GGGCACGACAUCUCAUCCGCGGUGAACCAACACACGUACACUCACACACUCAUACUCACGUCGGCCCGCGAGUUGCGUUUUGCAAGCGCUUUCAGUGCGAUUCGAACGACGGCCGCGGAUGCAGGGACGGCGGCGGACUGUUGGAGUCGUGUCGCAAGUCAGGCACGACGACCGAAACGACAUCACAUAAUCGUCGAUUCAUGCACGCCAGAUCACAAACUUGACACGUAUCGGACGCACUGCCGUUUCACGAUCCUGAAAAUACAUCACGAACCGGCACAGAGACUUAACACGAAGUGCAAUAGCACAGUUCAACGGCAGAGCACGCGAUAUAUAGGUAUCUCUACCUACUCGUCCGCGCGUUCCAUCGUCGAAGCCGAGUACACACACACUGUGUUCGCUGGAAAACCCGAGGCGGAAGGUGAAACGGCGGCCGCCGAUGUAUCUCCGGAGAGCCGUUCGGACACCGCCGGUCGUGUGUUCCACGCGGAAAUCAUAAGCAAUAAUAAUACGAUAUAGUAAUGAUAAAAUAUUACGAACCGGUAUUAUUAUAUUGUUAUUACUUGUAGUCAAGCGGGCCGUUUAAAAUUUAAGGCGACGACACAACAGUGUAUUUAUUAAUUUCUACGCCACACACCAGAACCCGUUACCGCAAACGCAACAGUUAUAUAUAGUGAGUAAAAACAAAUUUAAAAAAAAAUUCUAGUAACGUACCAGCCGAAAAAGUACUUAAUAAUAUAAUCAUUAAUUUUGUAUUAUAUUAUAUUAUUAAACGUGUGUGUAUACUUAUAUAAUAUAUAUUUAAUUUUUUUUGGUCGUUCUCACACUGUCGAAAAUAGGUGAAGGUAUACAAAUGUGUAUAAAUUAUUGAAUAAUUAUUAUUAUUACAUGAUGAUAAUAUUGUUGUAUAUACGUGAAAAAAAUUAAACUAUUUCGUUAAACACGUUCUGUCAAA